AUAGGCUUUAUGCCCUGAAGUGGGCUCACCAGAUCCAGUGGGUUCGAGCUGUGUUGACCGUUACUUCUUCCUCUGUUCUCGGUUAUGCCUGGGAAGCUGGCUCUGCGGAUCCCCAGAGGCCUCUGGACAGCAGCCGUGAUGGUGACGCUGGUGGUGCUGAGCACCCCAGGGGCUGAGGGCAGAGACACCCCACAGGACUUCGUGCACCAGUUUAAGGGCCUGUGUUACUUCACCAACGGGACGGAGCGGGUGCGGCUCGUGACCAGAUUCAUCUAUAACCUGGAGGAGUUCGCGCGCUUCGACAGCGACGUGGGCGAGUACCGGGCGGUGACCCCGCUGGGGCGGCCGGACGCCGAGUACUGGAAUGGCCAGAAGGACCUCCUGGAGGAGACGCGGGCCCUGCUGGACACGGUGUGCAAACACAACUACCAGCUGGAGCUCAUCACGACCUUCCAGAGGCAAGUGGAACCUACAGUGACCGUCUCCCCAUCGAGGACUGAGGCUCUAAACCACCACAACCUGCUGGUCUGCUCGGUGGCAGAUUUCUAUCCAAGCCAGAUCAAAGUUCGGUGGUUCCGGAAUGACCAGGAGGAGACAGCCGGCGUUGUGUCCACCCCUCUCAUUAGGAACGGGGACUGGACCUACCAGAUCCUCGUGAUGCUGGAAACGACUCCCCAGCGAGGAGAUGUGUACACCUGCCGUGUGGAGCACCCCAGCCUCCAGAGCCCCAUCACGGUGGAGUGGCGGGCACAGUCUGAAUCUGCCCAGAGCAAGAUGCUGAGUGGUGUUGGGGGCUUCGUGCUGGGGCUGAUCUUCCUCGGGCUGGGCCUCAUCAUCCGUCACAGGAGCCAGAAAGGAUAACAGCUGCUGCCCCGCCUCCCAUACAUCUGCAUCAGGCUGAAUGAAGUGCUGUGUCCUCUUUACCUGAUUCAUCUUCACCCAGAUGUUAGAGGAGGGCUUGUGCGCUGACUCCUGAGGAUACUUUGGGAUUGGUUUUCGCUCUUCUGCAAAGCCUGUUUGUCCUUGCCUGGAAUUCCCAGCUGCCUGUCAGCCCGUACCCCUCUGUGAUCAGAUCCUACUGUGACUCGGAUGCAGUCACAAGGUCACUUCCUGUGACACCUCCCCUCCCCCCGAGGAUCUGGCUGUGAUGCUGCUUCCUGACUGACGCCAGAGCCUCUGCCUGUGCGCUGCCAGCUGCAUCUACUCAGAGCCCAGUGGGUUUUUCUGUUCCCAUUCCCCCCCAGCAAACUGUGCUAGAGAAGCCUAUUAAAACCAUUUACCUUGGUGUUGAGCUUUUUAUUAAAAUUAAACUUGAUUAUGAGUUA